AUGGAUCCUAGCAGACAGGUGUGGUUACUGUCCAAGCCUGUAGGAAUAACUUCAGAAGCAUCUGCAUUGGGACAGAACAUGACUGUCAACCUCAGUGCCUCCAUGUUUACAUUUGCUACCCUGCCUGUUCUCCCAAAUGCCCCCCAGCCAACAAUCCAAUUAUUCUGGGAGGCCCCAGCACCCCUACUGACUGGAGGCAUCUCUCCCUGGAAUACUCUAGUGUUAUCUGCCUUGCCUGGGAUGUCUUUGGUGGCUGAAGAUGGAAGUUCAACUAUGGAUAUAGCUGUACCUCUGAAUAUUAUGCAAGUGGGGACACCGGGCAGGACUGUACAGCCCAUGCCCAAUGCCAACAUUGUCCUCACAGAGGAGUCCCUCAAUUUUAAUGUCUCUGUGACAGAGGGUGGGGGUAUGGGUUGCCCUGCUUCCCUCUUCAUGACAGCACCUGCUGCAAAUACCUUCAUAAAUGAUCAAAUUGCUUUGGACAUCCAGGCCCAAGAAGGAUUGUGGGUCCUGGGAUCUCACCCUCCAACCACAAAGCCAGUUGUCCAGCUGAUUCCUGUCAGGUCCCAAGUGAACUCAGCAUCACCUUAAAAAAGGAGCAGUUGGAGAGAGUUGUCUAGCCAAUGUUCAAACCAACUCCCCAGAAAACUGCUUGUCCAAACCAGACAGUGUUUAUGGGAAUAUCCGGCAAUGGCAGUAUAUCAAAAAUCUGGUCCGGCAGCACCUGUCCCAGACUCCAGACGUGUCAUCUUUCUCCUGCUUCCUCGUUCCAGUGCUUCGGUCCCUGGCUCAGAGGAAUCCUACCAUGAAUGUGGAGGAGGGCCUGUGGAGGGGUCUGCAGGAAUGGCAGUGUACAUGCAACUAUGACCGGAUGAUUUUCUUUGAGAUGGCUGAAAAGUAUAGAAAAUUUGAGAAGGCAGAAGAGAUGGAGAAUUCAAGGCUGGAGAUGAUGAGAAGUAUCCAGUGCCAAGUUCUUACAAGCACAAGGCAAGAUCCUCCAAGGCCCCCAUCUUCUGAGGUGUUUGAGGAACCAGCAUGCAACUCCAUGAAGACUGGUCCCAAGACAGACCCUGCCUGCCUCCCAGUACUCAGACACACACAAUUAUGAAAGACUGAGGCACCCAUGGAAAUUCUACCUGAAGAUGUGCAGGAGUACAUGGAUAUUAUGGACUGGAGGGACAGGCUUCCACAGUCAUUCACAGGAGUGCCCACAGAAAAGGAGAAAAAGGAGAACAGUGGGCCGGAGCAGGAAGGAGAUGACUUCUACUCAGAUGCAGGAGUCCUGAACUACAUUGAUGAGCUGUGCUCCCAGAAACACUUCGUUGAGCAAGUGGAGGACAUAAUAAACCCUAAAUUUGUGUCAGAAAUCCUAUCUUCCAAACCAGAGAUGGACAUAUUGUCUCUAAUGAAGGAGCUGGAGUAUGAGGAAGAACUCAGUGUUGAGCAGCAACUGGAGGAGUACUGCCCGGCUUUGAAGAAGAAAUGCUGUAAGAGGGCACCUCUGAAUCUCGGUGCCCCUCAGAUACUUUCCAAUGCUUCUGUACCAACUGUCUGCCAAGGCACAAAGAGAGAUGACCAUGGUCCCCAAAGGGAAGACAGUACACCGAAAGGUUCCUUACCGUGCCUUAUUUAGAUCAUCAGUGUCCUGGAGCUACCAAUGAAGAAAUAUGGGGGCCUAGGCUAACUGACUUCCAAAGUUGUCAGUGUUUACACUCACUGGGAGAUGUUGGGUCCACUGCUGUUCCCUAUGGCAGAGGAGCCCAUCCCCAAAGCCCAGGGUCCAGAUGUGCAAUGAGCCUCAGAGGAGUUUCUGCUAUGGAGGAGUUCCAGGAGUCACUGGGCAGAACCAUUGAGGACAAGGAAGAGCUCCCCAGCUUGUCCUUCCUUCUGUGGUCCCACUAGAGGCUGGUGUCAUGGAAACUGUCUGGCUACUUGUGCCCCUAUACAGGUCUCUCUGACUCUGCUAGUAUCCCCAAACCCUUAUCUCAAAGAUAAAUUGCCACAGUACUGGUCCAUCUUAAACUGACAAAUCAAAUAAGCGAGCUCUCAUUGGAGGCUUGACUCCAAUGGGUAAGAAGUCCAAAUCAGGGCUUUGUCAUGGGAUGUUUGAAGGGCCACUCUCAGCCCUGGAGCUCACUCACCCCUUGCAGGCACAGAAGAAGAAGUUUGAGUCACUAGGCAACUGGAAGAGAUAG